rnacentral:rRNA from 1 species
UUUUAUGAGAGUUUGAUCCUGGCUCAGGACGAACGCUGGCGGCGUGCCUAAUACAUGCAAGUCGAACGCUUCUUUUUCCACCGGAGCUUGCUCCACCGGAAAAAGAGGAGUGGCGAACGGGUGAGUAACACGUGGGUAACCUGCCCAUCAGAAGGGGAUAACACUUGGAAACAGGUGCUAAUACCGUAUAACAAUCAAAACCGCAUGGUUUUGAUUUGAAAGGCGCUUUCGGGUGUCGCUGAUGGAUGGACCCGCGGUGCAUUAGCUAGUUGGUGAGGUAACGGCUCACCAAGGCCACGAUGCAUAGCCGACCUGAGAGGGUGAUC